rnacentral:lncRNA from 1 species
AUGAGUGAAAUUGCAGCCUGCCCUCCGUCUCCCGCUGCUGGCAAUCCUUCAGCUCUCCCAUCUCCCACCUCCUCUCCCUCCUCCAGUCAGUAACUCUUCUUGCGGGUACGCUUGAUGCCAGUCCCUGUAUGCCAGCUGCUGUGCUAUACAACUGUAUUUCUCAAGUGCAACGAAGGAGGGAUGACUUUUGCUACCUCACCUGGACCACAAGGAGGAGGAAGCCAGAGUUUCAGCCAAUCCUACCACACCCAUUGAUGUUUCAGUGCUGUGAUGUCUGCCUAUGAGAGCUCUGAUUUUGGGUUCUGAACUUUCACCCUGCGGAUGAAGCUUUUGUCCCAAGAAUGCACUGGGGCACCUGGCUCCUGUGGACCUGUUGGAGAACCAUGUUAUGUAGGAGUCUCUGCUUGCAGAUCUGGGCUAGGUCAAGAGAGUGAUGAAGGUUAAUAAAGUCUGAAUGAAUUAGUACUUCUGACUGCA